rnacentral:tRNA from 1 species
CGGGGUAUGGCGCAGUCUGGUAGCGCACCUGCUUUGGGAGCAGGGGGUCGUGGGUUCAAAUCCCCCUACCCCGA